CGGCGGCCGUGGGCAGCGGGUGCCCGUUAGGAACCGGGCAGUCGGCCUCCUCUCGUUACCCUUUGGGGGUUCUUUUUGUAAUAGAAGCAGAUUUAAAUCUUGCAAUCACUGCUGGGAAGUGAGCUGUAUCAUCCUGAGAAAUCAGACCAUAGAGACAGGCCUGCAGCUGGCAGCCUGGGUCAUCUUUAAUCGCUUAACCCUUCAUAUCAAAGAACGGCUUGUAGCAGCGGAUUCCUUCUCCAGAAUUUCCCAUGGCAGAUUUUCUCAAGGAAAAGCUGGCCUGGAUCAGCAAUGGAAUACCUGGACAGGUAACUCUUGUAAAUAUGAAUCCAGCUGACUGCUGACCACCAGGCAGAGGAUGCGAUGGGAUGCUGCCAUUUUGGAGAGGUCUCAGCCAGUGAUGAAGAGUGGUCACAUGUAGGGAAAGUUUGGUGUGAUGAUUAUGGCAACUAGGACCAGUGCUGAAGCUAUCACCUCUCCUACUGCCAGCAUUGUGCAAUGGUGUGCAAUGGUAUCAUCAGCCCACAAGACAGAAUGAUGAAGAAGACUAAAGUGUGAGGAAGAUGUAGUUGGAAUCCAUUUUCCUGAAGACUGUCUUUAAGAUGAUUUCAUUCUCAUUUAUAAAAGAAUUUAAAGGAAGAACUUGCAAUGCCAGCUUUGGAUUUGGGAAACUGGAUCUAAAAGUGUGUGCGUGCGAGGUGCCACCUGCAUUGCGCCUUGGCCGACUGCUGAUUGUUCGCCACGAUCUGGCACUAAUCCCAAGGAUUAAGUGAGCAUCUGCUCCCCAGUGCUAACAGCCGGAUGGAGCCAAGCCAUCUACAGAAUGAAUCAGUCUUCUCAAGCUAUGUGCCUGAAGGCUUAAACUCCGGGGAAAGUCAUCAGGGAUGUCCUUAACAGGCCACUGUCUGGAAGUAGAAAAAUACCAUAACUUUGUGGUGUGAUCAAAGUACAGUAAUGACGAUGAAGCAGAAGCCCUGAGUUCCUUAAGAGUAGAUGUCCUCCUUUUUAUUGCCUUCAUAGGGCUUAUGGGACUACUCCCGAAGCCCCUUCCUGAUGUAGAGCCAUCUGGGGUCCCUUUAAUUUUCCCAGUGGUGGUGUGGGACUGCAUGAUUCCAAAAUCAAUUAUUCCCCUAGCCUCUAUUGUACUUGUAAAUUAAUGGUUAAAAUGUGCUUGUUAGUUCUGGGAUAAUAGAAUCUGUAACGAAACAGAGUUCCUAUGUAAAAUUGCUCAACCCCUUGUUUGUCCGGAGAACGAAUGUUCCCGGGCCCACUACCUGUACAACAAUCCAUCAAUGUGUCUGCUGACCAUCAGUACGUGACGGUCGUGACCAUUAGUGUGUGUGUCUGCAGAUCAUCAGUAUGUGACAGUCGACCACUAACCUUUGUUCCUUUUUUAUCGUAAAUCUACAUGUUAACCUCCCCCUCAACCCCCUAUAAAACAGCCUCG
rnacentral:lncRNA from 1 species